UAACUAUUGCUUCUCUUUAACGUAUCUUUCUUUAGCCUUUUACUAAACAAUUCCGUGAAGGGGAGCAUUUUAAUGUAUCUUGAAAAUUUUUUGAUAUCCGACUUUGGUCGGUUU
rfam:Ciona savignyi cont_42201, whole genome shotgun sequence.